rnacentral:lncRNA from 10 species
UCUCCCUCUUUGGCCGCAAUUGUGUUUUGAGGAGUCCAAUCAUCAUCGAUUACUUAUUUAUGUGAUUAAUCUCCUUAGGAAAGAAGGCACUUGUCCCUAUUUUACACAGGAGGAAGCAGAGAGCCCAGGGGAUGACUCGACCCAGGCACACGGCUGAUGGAUUGAUGAACGGCAGAGCUGGCCUCAGACCACAGGCAACUCUGGGAGGAAGAAAUUAGGACGCAGAUACCCAGAGGGGAGA